AAAAAGUUUAAUUUUAGCUUAAAAAUUUAUUAAAUUUUUUAUUUACAUGUAAAUUUUAGUUUGAUUUUAAAAUUAAUUUAAAUAAUUAGUUUUAAUUUAAUUUAUUCGCAGUAUUUAAAUUUAUUAAUUUAAGUAAUUAAGAAAUAUGAAAAAAUUUAUAAUAUUGACAAAAUUUGUGCCAGCAGUUGCGGUUAUACAAAAAAUGUAAAUAAAUUUUAUUGAUUGGUAAUAAAAAUAUUUUAUUUUAAUUAAAAUUAAAUUUAUAAGGUGAAAUUUUAAAUUUAAAAUGGUUAUAAUUUAAAUUAUUUGAUUUUAUAAAAUUUAAAAUAUAAACUAGGAUUAGAUACCCUAUUAUUUUAAUUGUAAAAAAAUUCAUUAAAUUAGUAUUAGUUAUGAUCUUCAAAUUUAAAAAUUUUGGCGGUAUUUUAGUCUAUUCAGAGGAACUUGUUCUAUAAUUGAUAAUCCACGAUUAAUUAUACUUUAAUUAUUAGUUUGUAUAUCGUCGUUAUUAAAUAUUUUAUAAGAAUAAUAAUGUUUAAUUUUUUAUAUAUAAAAAAUAUAUCAGAUCAAGGUGCAGUUUAUGUUAAAGAAGAAAUGAGUUACAAUAAAUUUAUUUAUAUGGAUAAUAAUAUGAAAAUUUUUUUAGAAAGUGGAUUUGAUAGUAAUAAAAUUAAAAUUAAUUUUAUGAUUUUAGCUCUAAAAUGUGUACAUAUCGCCCGUCGCUCUUAUUAUAAGAUAAGAUAAGUCGUAACAAAGUAGAUGUACUGGAAAGUGUAUCUAGAAUGA
rnacentral:ncRNA from 1 species